AUUGAACGCUGGCGGCAGGCCUAACACAUGCAAGUCGAACGGGUGGCGGACGGGUGAGUUAUGUCUGGGAAACUGCCUGAUGGAGGGGGAUAACUACUGGAAACGGUAGCUAAUACCGCAUACCAUCAGAUGUGCCCAGGUGGGAUUAGCUAGGUGGUGGGGUAACGGCCUACAAAGGCGACGAUCCAUAGCGGGUCUGAGAGGAUGACAAGUCACACUGGAACGGAGACACGGUCCAGACUCCUACGGGAGGCAGCAGUGGGGAAUAUUGCACAAUGGGCGCAAGCCUGAUGCAGCCAUGCCGCGUGUGUGAAGAAGGCCUUCGGGUUGUAAAGUACUUUCAGCGGGGAGGCGUUACCCGCAGAAGAAGCACCGGCUAACUCCGUGCCAGCCGCCGCGGUAAUAC
rnacentral:rRNA from 1 species